UAGAGUUUGAUCAUGGCUCAGAUUGAACGCUGGCGGCAGGCCUAACACAUGCAAGUCGAGCGGCAGCGACUUAACUGAACCUUCGGGGAACGUUAAGGGCGGCGAGCGGCGGACGGGUGAGUAAUGCCUGGGAAUAUGCCCUGAUGUGGGGGAUAACUAUUGGAAACGGUAGCUAAUACCGCAUAAUCUCUUCGGAGCAAAGAGGGGGACCUUCGGGCCUCUCGCGUCAAGAUUAGCCCAGGUGGGAUUAGCUUGUUGGUGAGGUAAUGGCUCACCAAGGCAACGAUCCCUAGCUGGUCUGAGAGGAUGAUCAGCCACACUGGAACUGAGACACGGUCCAGACUCCUACGGGAGGCAGCAGUGGGGAAUAUUGCACAAUGGGGGAAACCCUGAUGCAGCCAUGCCGCGUGUGUGAAGAAGGCCUUCGGGUUGUAAAGCACUUUCAGUAGGGAGGAAGGUAGUGUAGUUAACACCUGCAUUAUUUGACGUUACCUACAGAAGAAGCACCGGCUAACUCCGUGCCAGCAGCCGCGGUAAUGCGGAGGGUGCGAGCGUUAAUCGGAAUUACUGGGCGUAAAGCGCAUGCAGGCGGCCUGUUAAGUCAGAUGUGAAAGCCCGGGGCUUAACCUCGGAAUUGCAUUUGAAACUGGCAGGCU
rnacentral:rRNA from 1 species